GCGGGAGUGGUGAAAUUGGUAUACACGCAGGAUUUAGGUUCCUGUGCCGCAAGGCGUGAGGGUUCAAGUCCCUUCUUCCGCA
rnacentral:tRNA from 1 species